rnacentral:lncRNA from 9 species
CUCACCGGUGACGUAGCUCUCACGUGACCAGGAGUCGACGUGUGCAGAAGUCCUGCUAGUCUGGUCCUUGUUCGCCUCUGGGUACCAGCUUCCCUUGAGCAGCGCAGACGGCGGGGCCCGAGGCCAGGGGAGGAAGGAUUCGGCUUGCCGGAAUUUUGCAGGUCUUGUCGUUCCUAGCAGUACGCAGGGCUGGAAAGGGCAAGAAGAACGUGACCGCAUCAGUACAGAAGUAAUUGUUUCAAAGAGGAAUAAACAGAAAAAAAGAAAGAGGGCAAAGAAGGAAGGAAGAGAGACAGGCACAAGAUGAAACCCUGUCAAAAAAUUGAAGGAAAACCAGAAAAUGAGAGUGAACCAAAAUUUGAGGAAGAACCAAAGCCUGAGGAAAAGCCUGAGGAGGAGGAAGAGCCAGAGGAGGAGGAAAAAUCAGAAGGAACUUUUAAAGAAAGGCUGAUUCAGUCUCUCCAGGAAUUUAAAGAAGAUAUACACAACAGGCAUUUAAGCAAGGAAGAUAUGUUUAGAGAAGUGAAUGAAAUAGAUGAGAUAAGGAGAGUAAGAAACAAACUUAUAGUGAUGCGUUGGAAGGUUAAUCGAAACCAUCCUUACCCCUAUUUAAUGUAGUUUCCCUGGAUUUUUUUUUCUGAUGUUAACAUUGCUAUCUUGUAAUUUGUGUUUUCCUGAUAUACCUUUGUCCAUCUUUCUACUUUUAACUUGUUGCUAUUAAUGGUUUUGGAUGCAUCUCAUUGUUUAUUGUAUUUCAAACCAAUCUACAAGUCUCUGCCUUUUAAUAAGAGACCUUUACUCCUUUGUACAAAAAGAGAUGCCUGACAGGAUAUAAAAUGAAAAGAAAAGGUAAUAUGAGAAUAUCGUAUUUUUGAAAGGGAAGAGUACAUUUAUAUAUUAACAUAUAUGCACAAAAGAACAUGUAAAGAAUGAAAGACACAAAGUACGGUGAGUGGUAGUGUUAAGUGAUUUUUAAAAUUAGCUUAUUGAUAUUUUUCCUUCUUCCUAGAAUGUACACACCUUAUUGUUAAAAAUAAUAAAAUUUUUAUAACAAAAGG